AACGCUGGCGGCAUGCCUUACACAUGCAAGUCGAACGGCAGCAUGAUCUAGCUUGCUAGAUUGAUGGCGAGUGGCGAACGGGUGAGUAAUACAUCGGAACGUGCCCUGUAGUGGGGGAUAACUAGUCGAAAGAUUAGCUAAUACCGCAUACGACCUGAGGGUGAAAGUGGGGGACCGCAAGGCCUCAUGCUAUAGGAGCGGCCGAUGUCUGAUUAGCUAGUUGGUGGGGUAAAGGCCCACCAAGGCGACGAUCAGUAGCUGGUCUGAGAGGACGAUCAGCCACACUGGGACUGAGACACGGCCCAGACUCCUACGGGAGGCAGCAGUGGGGAAUUUUGGACAAUGGGCGAAAGCCUGAUCCAGCAAUGCCGCGUGUGUGAAGAAGGCCUUCGGGUUGUAAAGCACUUUUGUCCGGAAAGAAAUGGCUCUGGUUAAUACCUGGGGUCGAUGACGGUACCGGAAGAAUAAGGACCGGCUAACUACGUGCCAGCAGCCGCGGUAAUACGUAGGGUCCAAGCGUUAAUCGGAAUUACUGGGCGUAAAGCGUGCGCAGGCGGUUGUGCAAGACCGAUGUGAAAUCCCCGAGCUUAACUUGGGAAUUGCNUUGGUGACUGCACGGCUAGAGUGUGUCAGAGGG
rnacentral:rRNA from 1 species